rnacentral:rRNA from 1 species
AGCAGUAAAUGUGGAGCCGUAGCGAAAGCGAGUCUGAAUAGGGCGUUUAGUAUUUGGUCGUAGACCCGAAACCAGGUGAUCUACCCUUGGUCAGGUUGAAGUUCAGGUAACACUGAAUGGAGGACCGAACCGACUUACGUUGAAAAGUGAGCGGAUGAACUGAGGGUAGCGGAGAAAUUCCAAUCGAACCUGGAGAUAGCUGGUUCUCUCCGAAAUAGCUUUAGGGCUAGCCUCAAGUGAUGAUUAUUGGAGGUAGAGCACUGUUUGGACGAGGGGCCCCUCUCGGGUUACCGAAUUCAGACAAACUCCGAAUGCCAAUUAAUUUAACUUGGGAGUCAGAACAUGGGUGAUAAGGUCCGUGUUCGAAAGGGAAACAGCCCAGACCACCAGCUAAGGUCCCAAAAUAUAUGUUAAGUGGAAAAGGAUGUGGCGUUGCCCAGACAACUAGGAUGUUGGCUUAGAAGCAGCCAUCAUUUAAAGAGUGCGUAAUAGCUCACUAGUCGAGUGACACUGCGCCGAAAAUGUACCGGGGCUAAACAUAUUACCGAAGCUGUGGAUUGUCCUUUGGACAAUGGUAGGAGAGCGUUCUAAGG